GACGAACGCUGGCGGCGUGCUUAACACAUGCAAGUCGAACGGAAAGGCCCUGCUUGUGGGGUGUGCUAGAGUGGCAAACGGGUGAGUAACACGGGAGUAACCUCCUCUUGACUUUGGGAAAACUUGAGGAAUCUGGGGAUAAUACCGGAGAGGAGCUCCUGCUGCUUGGUGUGGGUUGGAAUGUUUGGGCGGUUGGGGAUGGACUGGCGGCUUACUAGCUGGUUGGUGGGGUAGUGGCUUACCAAGGGUUUGACGGCUAGCCGGCCUGGGAGGGUGACCGGCCACAUUGGGAUUGGGAAAGGCCCCGGAGUCCAACGGGGGGCAGCGGGGGGAAAUAUUGCAAAAUGGGCCGAAGCCGGAUGCAGGAACGCCGGGUGGGGAAUGACGGCUUUCGGGUUGUAAACCGCUUCCGCCUGGGACGAAGCGUGCGUGACGGUAAUGAGUAAAGAAGCACCGGCUAACUACGUG
rnacentral:rRNA from 1 species